rnacentral:pre_miRNA from 1 species
AAUUCAGCUGAAAAAGUCAUGAACAUAAAAGUUGUAGAACUCAUCAAGACAUACAACUUUUAUUUUAGUCAUUUCUUCAUCCGACAAAGUGAUAAUAACAUUGUUCACAAAAUUUACAUCUCUCUCUUCUAGUUUAUAAAAACAAAUGACAGAGAUGUAAAUUUUGUGAACAAUGUUACUAUCACUUUGUCGGAUGUAGAAAUGACCAAAAUAAAAGUUAUAGAACUUGAUGAGUUAUACAAUUUUGUUGUUGAUGACUUUUUCAGUUGAAAUC